AGUCUGGUUUAUACACCUGGUGAGACUCCAUUUUACAUAAAUUCUAUGCAAGGCAACUACGGAUAUUUAACAUAUACAGUUUGAUGAUUUUGACCACAUGUAAAGACCCAUGAAACAUACCAACAACCAGGAUCAUAAGCAUGCCUGGAGUUGUUAAUGAUUUCUUUAAGAAAAAAGUUUUAUUUAUUUAUUCAUUUAUUUAUUUCAUGUGCAGGGUUUAGCCUGCAUGUAUGCCUGCACAUCAAAAGAGGGCAUCAGAUCUCACUAGAGAUGGUUGUGAGCCACCACAUGCGUACUGGGAAUUUAACUCAGUACCUCUGGAAGAACAGCUAGUGCUCUUAACCACUGAGCCAUGUUUCCAGCCUUCAACACUUUCUUAUAUCCCUUUCCUGGAUCUAGAAUGACAGACAGUUGUGGAUUGCUAUGUGAGUUAUGGAAACUGAGUCUGGGUCCUCUGCAAGACUAGAAAAUACUCUUAGCUUCUGUACCACCAUGUCAAUCCCAAAUUGACCUUUUUUUUUUUUUUUUUUUUUGGAUUCCUCAUAUAAAUAGAAUCAUAAAGUAAUUAUUCUAAUUCACCCAUAAUGGACAUUUAAACUACAAUGGUACCUUUCAGAUUCCUCACUUAUGCCACAAAUUUUUAAAGAUGAAAUUUUUAAAGAGGAAAGGCGGAGUAAUAUUUAGUCACGUGUGUGUGUGUGUGUGUUGCUAUUUUCUAUCUAUGGAUAGUUUAUGUCACUAACAUUGAAUACAGAUAUCCCUAUGUCCAUCUGUCCUCUCUCAUACAUUGAAUUAAACACAGUUUGAAGAGACUGGGAUAACUGGAUAUCAGAGGAGGUUGGGAAAUCAAUAGAAUGAUUGACAAGAAAUGACAAAUUUUGUUUCCACUGAAAAUUUUCAAAGGAUCAACCCUUUCAAACUUCCUGAGCGAAGGAGUAGAUGAUUCUGACAACCCAAUAAAAAACACAGGCCUCCUGUGAUUGGUUGGAAGACAGUUUCCUAGGCAAUCAAUACACAGUGUGUUUCAUGAGCUACCCUGGGCUUUUCACAGUAUAUUUCAUAUUGGGAUGUUGAUUAAGCUCUAGAAUUUAAUAAAAGUUCUAUAUUUGGAUUUC
rnacentral:lncRNA from 1 species